rnacentral:rRNA from 1 species
CCUACGGGCGGCAGCAGUGAGGAAUAUUGGUCAAUGGCCGGAAGGCUGAACCAGCCAAGCCGCGUGAAGGACGAAGGUGCCAAGCACUGUAAACUUCUUUUGUCAAGGGACAAAAUCAGGCUCGAGACCCUGACCGAGGGUACUUGAAGAAACAGCAUCGGCUAACUCCGGCCCAGCAGCCGCGGUAAUACGGGGGAUGCGAGCGUUAUCCGGUUUUAUUGGGUUUAACGGAUGCGUAGGCGGGCUGUUAAGUCAGCGGUAAAAGCCCGGGGCUCAACCCCGGCGAGCCGUUGAAACUGGCUGUCUUGAGAUGUCGAGAGGUAUGCGGAAUGCGCAGUGUAGCGGUGAAAUGCUUAGAUAUUGGGCAGAACUCCGAUUGCGAAGGCAGCAUACCGGCGGCGAUAUGACGCUGAGGCACGAAAGCGUGGGUAUCGAACAGGAUUAGAUACCCUAGUAGUC